GCUGAUCAAAACAAAAUAAAUUCAGCUGCUUGCCGCGUGAUCUAAAACCCUAGAAAAGAAGAAAGAACAAGAUCCAGGGAAUAUAGACAUAAGAAGUCCAGAAAACCCUAGAAAAGAAGAAGAUCCUGGGAAUAUAGACAUAAAAAGUCCAAAAACCCAAUAAAAGAAGAAGAAGAAAGAACAAGAUCCAGGGAAUAUAGACAAGAAAUCCAAAAACCCUAUAAAAGAAGAAGAUCCAGGGAAUAUAGACAUAAGAGGUCCAAAAAAACAAUAAAAGAAGAAGAAGAAAGAAGACUGCUUGCCGCUACAAACAUUCAAACGUCGAGCUUUGUGAAAAUUAAUAAGUUCGACCUAAACACAGGCGGAAGUGAUUCAACCAAAGUUAUGAAUUACGAAAGUAGGAAUAUGAAUACCCAGAAGCAGGAACAAGCAAUGUAUACGUCAAGAGAAUAUUGGAGAGAGAGAGAGAAAAAAAAAAAGACAAAAAUGACAGUUUGUCAAACUACAGUAACCCAACAUAGUUAGCAGAAGAGCAUAAAACUAAGGAUUUCAUGAUUUACAGACUUUUCACCAACAAAAGUACUGCAUCAGAAGACACACAGGACAGAAAUAAUAUAACAAAAGAGAACAAAUAGUAAGGAAAGGAUUCAAGGGAUACAUACUACUACUACUGUCGCUACAAAAAAGAGAAGAAGGAGAAUGAAUAAGCAACCAAAACAAAGUUUGUGCUGAAUGCAGGGCAGAGCUGGGGAGGUUACAAUAAGGUACAAAUUGAUUGUCCUUAUGCAGAGAUUGUUAUUGUUACUUCCUGAGAGAUUUUGUCUGCUGUUAUGAAUGACUCAUGUUUGGAUAUGAAAAUUUGUGAUGACAUGAGGGAAUCAAUUGAUAUUAAGGAAGAGAGUAUUGAAGAUAUGAGUGAGGAUAAUUACCAGGGAAUAAAAUAAGCUAUUGGGGAUGUAGAGAAAGAGAAUGUUGUCUAUGUAAGUAAAUGUAAAUCAUGAUAGUCCAAUAUCUGAGUAAAUCAAAAGUCAUGGCAAGGAAGCAGUUCAAAAGAAGUUGAAAGUCUGGAUGUGCAAGCAUGAAGAUCCAUUGUCAUUAUCAGUGUUGUUUGUGGCUGAGGGUUGUGAAAACUUAAGCUUAUCAGAUUGUGAUCAGGUGACACAAAAGAAAGGCAGUAAAGGGGUUAGAGAGGAAAGAGUUCGAGCAAGAGGGAAAUUAUUGUGUGUGAAAUAUAGAGCGACAUUUUCAGUGUUAAGAGAUUACCUAAUCACAUGAGAGUACACGAAAAAAGUAAAACCAUUUAAGUGUGAGAUAUGCAGCAAAAGUUCACUAAGAAGGAUCAUAUAUGAUAAUAGAUACAAGAGAGAAUAAUUUUAUGUGUGAGAUUUACAGUAAACAGAUCACUUUGAAGCUCCAUUUAGUGUAUCACAUGAGACUACAUACAAAAGAAAAACCUUUUAGGUGUGAAGUUUGCAGCAAACUGUUUGCUCAGAAGCAUCAUUUAGUGUACCACAUGAGAGAGCCUUCUAGGUUUGAGAUUUGCAGCAUGCACUUUACUCAGAAGCAGUAUCUUAUGGACUACAUGAGAGUACAUACAAAAGAGCAGCCUUUUGAGUGUAAGGGCUGUAGUGAACCAUUCACUGUAAAGAGUAAUCUGGAAAGUCACACGAUAACAUUCAUUGGAGAAACAUUAUGUCUGUGAUAUUUGUACCAAGGCAUCUGCACAAAAAGGUAAUCUAGGUUUGCACUUUAUAAUUCAUAAAGUAGAGAUUUCUUAUAUUUGUGAAAUAUGUAGCAACAUGUUCACCAUGAAAGGGAAUCAAGUAAGACACAUGCCAGUGCACACGAAAGAAGAAAAUGUAUAGUUGUGAGGUAUGUAAGAAAAUUAGUCUCGAGAGGUGCAUGAGAGUGCAUACAAAGGAGAAGCCUUUUAAUUGUGCUAUUUGUAGUGGAUCAUUCCGUUAUAAAUGUAGUCUUGUGAAACGUUUCAAAUCAUAAAUGGUGUAUUUUGCUUGGCUGCCCAUUGUCAUGUGCGAUACCAGUCGGGCAGUGAACUCCGUCUGGAGUUUAAAGGUUUUCUUAGUAAUCAUUCAGAGUAACUAAGACCAAUUUCUAAGUUCGAUCUUCUCUGACACUCUCUCACUCACUCGCUCGCUCGCUCGCUUGCUCACACUCACGCUUAUUAAUGUUGCUACCGCUGCCUCAAACCCAAUUUUCUACAUGCAGCUGCACACCGUGAGUUACCCAAAUGAAGGGCGGUCAGAGCGGAGGAAGAACACAAACAUGAUACAAAACACAUGUCACAUAGUUUAUUAACUAUAAACAGAGGGUAGCAAAUAGGGAGUUCUUUCCAUGCUACCAUGUUAACCAUGUAACACCCAAGAAACAUGCGCACAACCGUCUCCGCUGCCGGGUCUUACGCAAGCACACGGUAACACCUGUCACCGCAAUUCAUUACCACUGCCAUGGACUCAACACGUCACUGCGGCUCAUUGCCUCGGGGUAACAUUAACAGCUAGGAUCUGAGCUGCGCAGAAAGCUAAAGUGAGCUCACCUUGCUUCUCUGGAUCUUGACGACAACAAUAUUUGGGAAACAAAGCACUGCAUAGCCGUUAUACACACCCAUGCCGCCACAGAAAAGUUCCACGAAAACAAAAUUUGUCACAACAACACAUCUAAAGGGACGGCCGACGUGCACAUCUAUAUUCAAUUCUGCCAGCUUCUGUAUCUUACGAGGUGUUCACAAAUGAAUAAUGGCUGGCAGAAUCAACAUUUCUCAAGCGGUCUUUUUCUUCGAGAUGUGAAAAAGAAAUAAAAUUGUCUACCAGAGUUUUGUUUCCUUCCUUAAUGAAAGGGGUGACUCAGAU